AGGCUACUGCUAUUGGGAUUCGACUAAGCCAUGCGAGUCAAGGUGUCUUCGGACGCCGGCAUACGGCUCAGUAACACGUAGGUAACCUACCCUCAGGACUGAGAUAACCCCGGGAAACUGGGGCUAAUAUUAGAUAGAUAAAAGAUACUGGAAUGUUCUUUUAUCCAAAGCUUUUGCGCCUGAGGAUGGGCCUGCGUCCGAUUAGGUCGUUGGUGGGGUAAUGGCCCACCAAGCCUGCGAUCGGUACGGGCAGUGGAAGCUGAAGCCCGGAGUUGGGGACUGAGACAAGGCCCCAGGCCCUACGGGGCGCAGCAGGCGCGAAACCUCUGCAAUGCGGGAAACCGUGACAGGGGGAUCCCAAGUGCUCAUGCAUUGCAUGGGCUGUUCUUUGGUCUAAGUAACCAGAGGAGUAAGGGCUGGGCAAGACCGGUGCCAGCCGCCGCGGUAACACCGGCGGCUCGAGUGGUAACCGUUAUUAUUGGGUCUAAAGGGUCUGUAGCCGGCCGGAUAAGUCUCUUGAGAAAUCUGGCAGCUUAACUGUCAGGCUUUCAGGAGAUACUGUCUGGCUCGAGGCCGGGAGAGGUGAGAGGUACUUCAGGGGUAGGGGUGAAAUCUUGUAAUCCUUGAAGGACCACCANNNGCGAAGGCGUCUCACCAGAACGGACCUGACGGCAAGGGACGAAAGCUAGGGGCACGAACCGGAUUAGAUACCCGGGUAGUCCUAGCCGUAAACGAUACUCGCUAGGUGUCGGCCACGGUGCGACCNUUGUCGGUGCCGUAGGGAAGCCGUGAAGNGNGCCACCUGGGAAGUACGGCCGCAAGGCUGAAACUUAAAGGAAUUGGCGGGGGAGCACCACAACGGGUGGAGCUUGCGGUUUAAUUGGAUUCAACGCCGGAAAUCUUACCGGGACCGACAGCAAUAUGAAGGCCAGGCUGAAGACUUUGCCGGAUUAGCUGAGAGGUGGUGCAUGGCCGUCGUCAGUUCGUACUGUGAAGCAUCCUGUUAAGUCAGGCAACGAGCGAGACCCACGCCCACAGUUGCCAGCGUACUCUCUGGAGUGACGGGUACACUGUGGGGACCGCCGCUGCUAAAGCGGAGGAAGGAAUGGGCAACGGUAGGUCAGUAUGCCCCGAAUAUCCCGGGCUACACGCGAGCUACAAUGGUUGGUACAAUGGGUAUCUACCCCGAAAGGGGACGGGAAUCUCCUAAAACCAAUCUUAGUUCGGAUUGAGGGCUGCAACUCGCCCUCAUGAAGCUGGAAUCCGUAGUAAUCGCGUUUCAACAGAACGCGGUGAAUACGUCCCUGCUCCU
rnacentral:rRNA from 1 species